rnacentral:rRNA from 1 species
CAGUCGAGCGGAACGAGUUAACUGACCCUUCGGGUGACGUUAACGGCGUCGAGCGGCGGACGGGUGAGUAAUGCCUGGGAAAUUGCCCUGAUGUGGGGGAUAACCAUUGGAAACGAUGGCUAAUACCGCAUAAUGCCUUCGGGCCAAAGAGGGGGACCUUCGGGCCUCUCGCGUCAGGAUAUGCCCAGGUGGGAUUAGCUAGUUGGUGAGGUAAUGGCUCACCAAGGCGACGAUCCCUAGCUGGUCUGAGAGGAUGAUCAGCCACACUGGAACUGAGACACGGUCCAGACUCCUACGGGAGGCAGCAGUGGGGAAUAUUGCACAAUGGGCGCAAGCCUGAUGCAGCCAUGCCGCGUGUGUGAAGAAGGCCUUCGGGUUGUAAAGCACUUUCAGCAGUGAGGAAGGCGGGUACGUUAAUAGCGUGCUCGUUUGACGUUAGCUGCAGAAGAAGCACCGGCUAACUCCGUGCCAGCAG